rnacentral:rRNA from 1 species
CGGCGCACGGGUGAGUAACGCGUAUGCAACCUACCUACUACUUUGGGAUAGCUCGUUGAAAGACGAAUUAAUACCUUAUAAAACAGGGGCUCCGCAUGGAGAUAUUUGUUAAAGAUUUAUCGGUAGUAGAUGGGCAUGCGUUCCAUUAGUUAGUUGGUGAGGUAACGGCUCACCAAGACAACGAUGGGUAGGGGAACUGAGAGGUUUAUCCCCCACACUGGAACUGAGACACGGUCCAGACUCCUACGGGAGGCAGCAGUGAGGAAUAUUGGUCAAUGGAGGCAACUCUGAACCAGCCAAGUCGCGUGAAGGAUGACUGCCCUACGGGUUGUAAACUUCUUUUUUAAGGGAAUAAAGUGAGCCACGAGUUGGCUUUUUGCAAGUACCUUACGAAUAAGGAUCGGCUAACUCCGUGCCAGCAGCCGCGGUAAUACGGAGGAUCCGAGCGUUAUCCGGAUUUAUUGGGAUUAAA